UCCUCCAGCGCCGCCGGCGGCUCCGGCGUGGGAGAGAUGGAGGUGAUGCGGAUGCUGGGACACUCGAGAACACGGCCACCCCCAGCACCCCCAGCACCCCCUCCUGGUCCUCCCAGCCUCACCGACCGGGCGGGCUGGCUCUCCCAGGUACCAGCAAGGAGACCUUCUGAGCCACAAGACAAAAGCAGAGUUGGACCUGGGAAGAUGGAGGAGAUUGAAGCAGGCAUGCCAGGACUUUGCCCACUGGCCCCUGGAUCCUGGGACCGAGGGUACCCGAUCUGGUGGGUCUUAAGCUUAAAUUCCAGCUCCUCAUCCUCGCAGCUGGCCGCCCCCAUGGAUCCGGCAGGAGCCCCCAGGUCCCGGCCUGGGUGGGAGGGGGGAGCUCAGGAGGCUGCUGUAUCUUCACCCGGGUGGCUCCCUCCCUCCCUUUCUCUGAGAAGCCCCCUCCUCCGUCGCUGCCGCCUCCCUGCAGAAGCCCCCUCGUUAUUAUAGAAACUUUUCCAAACUUUUUUCCCCCAAACUUCUUCAAAGCGGCCCCCCCCAGCCUGUCCCUGAUUGGCUGCCGGGGAUGCUCCAGCCCCUCCUCCAGGGAUGAGAUGGGAAAACCACGCGCCCCUCGUCCUCCCCCACCCUCCCUCCCUCUGUCUUCUCUUCAGUCCCUCCCCCUCAAAAAAAAAAAAAAAAAAAAAAACUGAAUUGGAAAACGGUCCUUCAAGAGUGAUACUAAUGUUGCCUAUUGGUCCGCCGUUGUGACAAUCAUUUCCCUCAGGGAGCCCAGCCCCCACCUCCCAUAGUCUCAGUUCAAGGUUCUGGGUCCGAGAGCUUUAAAGGGGCCACAUCCUGGGCCCCCAGGGUAGAGAGCCCACGGAAGACCCUUUUUUAAGUUCUGAAGACUGUGUAGAUAGCACCUAGCAAGGCGGAACCACUUAUCCUCCCCUUUCCCUCCAAGCCUGGCGCCAGGAGGGUCCUGGGGCAGAGUGGCACCGAGCUGCUCGGAAGAGGAAAAGGCUAUUCUUCCAGGUCCCUUGCCUGGGGCUACUUUGCCCGGGCCUUCUGGAAGUCUUUUGCCCUGCCGAAUCAGUGCCUCCAUUAGCCAUUCCUCAACGACCCCCAAAGAUGAAGAACCCUUAGCCAGCCUGGAUGCCUCUGGGAGCAGUCCCAGCCAAAGAGUCUUUGAGAACUGUCCCUAGGCCCACAGCCCUUGAUGGGCGUAGAUCCAGGCCAGGCUUUGCCACUGCCCUUGUCCCAGCCACCCAGAGGGGCCAUGAAUUGGCCUCCACGGGAAGUUGGUUCCCUCCUCCCUAGAACUGUAGUUUGGAAUGAAUCUGUGACCCGAUAGCAUCCCACUCCGGCUCUUCUAAAAAUCCUUGCCAGGUUUACUAGGGGCCUGAAACCUCGGGACCCUGUGGGCUCCCCCCUCCCCCGCUGCCCCCGCCCGGGGCUGGACACCUGUCACCUGGGCUGGAGGAGGAAGGAAGACCCGGACUGGAGUUUCCGGGAAAGUCAGGCUUGGAGAGGCCUGGGUUGUGUGAGAGGGAGUUAGGAGAUUCGUGACUCGGUGGGAGAUACUGGCAAGGCUGUUAUCAAACGGUUUGAAGAUCCUUUCCCAUAGUACCACCUGAAAAUAAUGAUGAAAAUGCCCACCUCUUCAGUAGAUAAAGUGACUUUUACAAAUCAGACUAACAACCCCCUAUUCCAGCUUUAGUGCUCUCCCUGUCCAACCUGGGAUCCACGUGAGCCAUUUCAAAAGUGUUUUCACAAGCAAUCAAGAUUUCCUCAGCCCUUAACUUUCCAUCACUUCCCAAACUGAGGUCCAAUGCAAACACAGCCAAGAAGUGCAAGGGAGUUAGUGCCUCCAGAUGAAAUCCUCAACCAAUGAGUGCAGACACUGGCAGAUGAAUGUUCCAGCCUCCCAUCCUUCAUAUGGACAAUUCUGGGAGGCAUUCUUUAAAUUUGGAGUCUCUACUGGAAAGGAGCCUCCAUUGCCUACAAUAACAAUCUCAAUAAAACAUCCUCAUAUUGGC